rnacentral:rRNA from 1 species
UACGUAGGGACCAAGCGUUGUUCGGAUUUACUGGGCGUAAAGGGCGCGUAGGCGGCAUGACAAGUCACUUGUGAAAUCUCCGGGCUUAACUCGGAACGGCCAAGUGAUACUGUCAAGCUAGAGUGCAGAAAGGGCAAUCGGAAUUCUUGGUGUAGCGGUGAAAUGCGUAGAUAUCAAGAGGAACACCUGAGGCGAAGGCGGGUUGCUAGGCUGACACUGACGCUGAAGCGCGAAAGCCAGGGGAGCAAACAGG